GUAAGACUGGGAUAACUCCGGGAAACCGGAGCUAAUACCGGAUAGUUCCUUGAACCGCAUGGUUCAAGGAUGAAAGACGGUUUCGGCUGUCACUUACAGAUGGACCCGCGGCGCAUUAGCUAGUUGGUGGGGUAAUGGCUCACCAAGGCGACGAUGCGUAGCCGACCUGAGAGGGUGAUCGGCCACACUGGGACUGAGACACGGCCCAGACUCCUACGGGAGGCAGCAGUAGGGAAUCUUCCGCAAUGGACGAAAGUCUGACGGAGCAACGCCGCGUGAGUGAUGAAGGUUUUCGGAUCGUAAAGCUCUGUUGUUAGGGAAGAACAAGUGCGAGAGUAACUGCUCGCACCUUGACGGUACCUAACCAGAAAGCCACGGCUAACUACGUGCCAGCAGCCGCGGUAAUACGUAGGUGGCAAGCGUUGUCCGGAAUUAUUGGGCGUAAAGGGCUCGCAGGCGGUUUCUUAAGUCUGAUGUGAAAGCCCCCGGCUCAACCGGGGAGGGUCAUUGGAAACUGGGAAACUUGAGUGCAGAAGAGGAGAGUGGAAUUCCACGUGUAGCGGUGAAAUGCGUAGAGAUGUGGAGGAACACCAGUGGCGAAGGCGACUCUCUGGUCUGUAACUGACGCUGAGGAGCGAAAGCGUGG
rnacentral:rRNA from 1 species